rnacentral:lncRNA from 1 species
CAUCAUUUCACCAUGUUGGUCAGGCUGAUCUCGAACUCCUGACCUCGUGAUCUGCCCUCCGUGGCCUCCCAAAGUGCUGGGAUUACAGGCGUGAGCCACCAUGCCUGGCCAAGAAGCCCUUCUUUAGACCUAUAUGUGGACUCCCAGAUUAAGAGCCCCUGUUCAUAUUCAGUAUAGUAUGAGAGUUCUUUAUAUUGGAUAAUCUGUUCACGGAGUUCUCUGGAAAUCUGUAACCAGUUAGGUCAUUUGAGUAUAAGUAGCAGAGCCACCUGAAGUUGCCCC